GUGACAGAGUGAGGGAGGGUGUGUCUAGUGACAGAUUGAGGGAGGGGUUGACUAGUGACAGAGUUAGGGAGGGAAGGGGUGACUAGUGACAGUGAGGAAGGGGGUGACUAGGGACAGAGUGAGGGAGGUGGUGACUAGUGACAGUCACCACCUCCCUCACUCUGUCACUGUGUCACCCCCUCCCUCUGUCACUAGUCACCCACUCCCUCCCUCCCUCUGUCACUGGUCACCCACUCCCUCCCUCCCUCUGUCACCAGUCAUCCCCUCACUCUGUCACUAGUAACCCCUUCCUUCCCUCACUCUGCCACUAGUCACCUUUUCCCUCACUCUGUCACCUGUCACCCCCUCACUCUGUCACU